rnacentral:rRNA from 1 species
UACGUAGGGUGCAAGCGUUGUCCGGAAUUACUGGGUGUAAAGGGUGCGUAGGCGGAACUGCGCGUCGAAGGUUAAAGACCUCGGCUCAACCGAGGAAGUGCCUUCGAUACGGCAGUUCUAGAGUAUAGGAGAGGAUGAUAGAAUUCCUGGUGUAGCGGUGAAAUGCGUAGAUAUCAGGAGGAAUACCAGUGGCGAAGGCGGUCAUCUGGCCUAUUACUGACGCUCAGGCACGAAAGCGUGGGGAUCAAACAGGAUUAGAUACCCUGGUAGUCCACGCCCUAAACGAUGUAUGCUUGGUGUUGUGUCGCAAGACUCAGUGCCGAAGGAAACCCGAUAAGCAUACCACCUGGGGAGUACGAUCGCAAGGUUGAA